rnacentral:rRNA from 1 species
UACGAAGGGAGCUAGCGUUGUUCGGAAUCACUGGGCGUAAAGCGCACGUAGGCGGAUGUGUCAGUCAGGGGUGAAAUCCCGGAGCUCAACUUCGGAACUGCCUUUGAUACAGCACGUCUUGAGUCCGAUAGAGGUGGGUGGAAUUCCUAGUGUAGUGGUGAAAUGCGUAGAUAUUCGGAAGAACACCAGUGGCGAAGGCGGCUCACUGGCCCGGUACUGACGCUGAGGCACGAAAGCGUGGGGAGCAAACGGG